rnacentral:rRNA from 1 species
CAAUAGCGUAUAUUAACGUUGUUGCAGUUAAAAAGCUCGUAGUUGGAUUUCUGGAGGGAGCGUCGGCCCGUAUUUACGAGUGCGUGACGUCUCUGUCCAUCCUUGCGGGAAGGCACGGCAUUGAUUUGUUGUGUCGGAUCGCAUCAUUUACUGUGAAAAAAUUAGAGUGUUCAAAGCAGGCUUUCGCUUGAAUACAUUAGCAUGGAAUAAUAAGAUAGGACUUUGGUGCUAUUUUGUAGGUUGAGCCUAAAGUAAUGAUUAAUAGGGAUAGUUGGGGGCACCUGUAUUGCGUUGUCAGAGGUGAAAUUCUUGGAUUUACGCAAGACAAACAGCUGCGAAAGCGUCUGCCAAGGAUGUUUUCAUUAA